UACAGAGGUCUCAAGCGUUGUUCGGAUUCAUUGGGCGUAAAGGGUGCGUAGGCGGCGCGGUAAGUCGGGUGUGAAAUCUUGGAGCUUAACUCCGAAACUGCAUUCGAUACUGCCGUGCUUGAGGACUGGAGAGGAGACUGGAAUUUACGGUGUAGCGGUGAAAUGCGUAGAUAUCGUAAGGAAGACCAGUGGCGAAGGCGGGUCUCUGGACAGUUCCUGACGCUGAGGCACGAAGGCCAGGGGGAGCAAAACGGGG
rnacentral:rRNA from 1 species